UAAAACACAAUUUUAUCUUUGUUUGUUUAUAUGGACACACUAUAAAUAUGUCAUGCUAACGCUAGAACGGUUUAGAAAUCUUGUGACACAUUUCCGAGUGAAAUCUGUAAGAAAAUUAAAAAAAAAAAUAAAAUAAAAUAAAAUGACUAAGCUUUUAUUGCUUUUUUACUUUGCUCUCUUGACAUUGACUUGUGUCAUGGCUUGUUUACAACCAGGCCAGUCUUGUUCCAACAGUAACCAGUGCUGUGGUUUGUUGAUAUGCAACCCUUGGGCUAAUCGUUGCACAAAGGGUGGAAACUGGCCAUUGGCUGACGCUAACAGUGAUGGCAACCAGUAAUCACAAUGAGCUUACUGACAUUUCCAUGUUAUUUCGUAGGCUUACAAUCAAAUAUACAUUUUUUGUCAAUUAAUCCUAUACAAUGACUUCUUUAAUUUGACUUAUUGUUUAAUUGGAAAAUAUAUAUGUAUUAUUAAAAACAAAUUUUUUUUUU